AAAAGGAGGGUUGAAAAUGAUGAAGGUGGUGGUGCAGAGAGGCCAUAGAAAGAAAACUAGCUGGCCAAUUUACUCCCUGCAGAAUCUGGCAAUCUAUUAGCCUUUCUUUAGAUGGGACCUUCUUUGAGAUUGAAAUUGAGAGAGGAGAGAGAAAUAGUCUUCUCCAUUUUGAUGGAUCUGACUCACUGCUCCAAAAGAUCACUCUCAUUAUUGAAAACACUUGUCAGUCCUUUUGGCCUCCUUAGGACCUCCUACCGAUCUUGUUCUGUCUUCUUG